GCGACGGGAGAACUGACGUCACAUCCGCCAUAUUGUUGUAACCAUAGACACGGUUGUAACAGCUUUGUUGUCUUCUUUAUCCUGAGUUCUGGGCUUUGUGGAGGAACAUGCCCGGCCGUCGCUGCUGCAUUCGCGGCUCUUCCAGUCGUUCGCACGGCAAGAAAGAAGAGAAAUUAAACAACGGACUGCGAUUCUUAUGCUUUCCGAAGAAACACGAAGGCAAACUGGUGUCGGAGGUGACGAAUGCUUAGCCUGGGUGACGGCAGUUGGAAGGAACGACGUCACUUUCUAUUCAUUUCACCACCAAAAUGGGUCGUUUUCACUCAGGAAAACUAGCGUUUGAAAUGCUAACGACCCAUCCUGACUGGAAGGAGGUCAGGCAAGAAAAGGAGCAGCAGGAGACGCCACACACAGCCAAGCUUGUGCAAAAAUGUGAAGAGGAACAGGUGGAAACUGACCUCUCACAACCUGUCAAGGAAAGUUCAGAGAAAAACAUGCUUGACCAAUGAAGCAAAUCACUAGUCUAAAGAGUGAAUUCACUGAACUUAAUCUUACAGAACUGUUCUUAAGGGUGACAAAAAGGUAAAAUAUUACACCGGGCUUCAGAGCCAUUCCACUUUUCAGGGCUUGUUGCGCAGGUUCCAACAAACUUGACUCACUUUCAGAUGGUUCUCCUCACCUUAAUGCGUCUGAAGUUAAAUUUUCCAGUGGGUCGGAUAAGUUAGUUAUUUUACGUGCAGCAAGAAACCGCCAACGCUGCAUUCGAGGACAUGAUCGCCACGUUCUACGCGUGCAUCUUCCCAUGAUCGUCCAGGUUUCCACGGAGACGGCGUCCAACAUGGAGUCAGAGGACGGACACAGUGGAACGGUGAAAUACGUCACCGGCAUCACUUCGCAGGGAGUCACUUCCUUCGCCUCCAGAGGCUGGAGGGGUCAGCAGUGAUGUAGAAAUCACAGAAAGCUGUGGUCUGCUGGACAUACUGCAGCCGCAUGACGUAGUUCUGCGAUUUAACAUUGUUGUGCUCUUAUAAAUCUGUGUCCAAAUGGUGUUUUGUUUUUUUUAUUGCAAAAAGGAAAUCAACAAAUACUGUAGGGCAGAUGUGCUCUUGUAAUAUGACUUUAUUUUCAGACAAAUUUCACUUAAUAUUAUGACUUUAUUCUUAUAAUUCAAUUUUUUCUUACUGUGGCUGUAAUACGUGUGUUACAAAUGUUACGAAGUUGUGAAAGAUCACAUUGCUCGCGUUCUCACUAGAACCAGGAAGAUAGAGACAUAACACCAGUUUUAAAGUCCCUCCACUGGCUCCCUGUAGCUCAAAGAAUAGAUUUUAAAAUAUUGUUGUUGGUUUACAAAUCACUGAACGGUUUAGCACCACAAUACAUCAAAGAUUUGCUGUUGUUGUAUCAACCUUCCAGACUCUCAGGUCUUCUGGUUCUGGUCUGCUUUGCAUUCCCAGAACCAGAACCAAGAGAGGAGAAACAGCUUUCAGCAUCUAUGCACCAAAAAUUUGGAACAAACUUCCAGAAAACUGUAAAACAGUUGAAACCCUGACUUCUUUUAAAUCGCAAUUAAAAACACACCUGUUUAGAGUUGUUUUUGAAAUGUAAUAUGUAACAAUGCAUUGUCUAUUAUAUGUUGCAUGACUUUGUGUUCUUGUGUUUAUGAUGGGAAGCACUUUGAAAUGCCUUGCUGAAAUGUGCUAUACAAAUAAAAUUUGAUUGAUUGAUUGAUUGCAAACCAAUAAAGACUUAUAAUUCUUCUGUAA